CCUACGGGAGGCAGCAGUGGGGAAUAUUGCACAAUGGGCGCAAGCCUGAUGCAGCCAUGCCGCGUGUGUGAAGAAGGCCUUCGGGUUGUAAAGCACUUUCAGCGGGGAGGAAGGCGGUGAGGUUAAUAACCUCAUCGAUUGACGUUACCCGCAGAAGAAGCACCGGCUAACUCCGUGCCAGCAGCCGCGGUAAUACGGAGGGUGCAAACGUUAGUCGGAAUUACUGGGCGUAAAGCGCACGCAGGCGGUCUGUCAAGUCGGAUGUGAAAUCCCCGGGCUCAACCUGGGAACUGCAUUCGAGACUGGCAGGCUAGAGUCUUGUAGAGGGGGGUAGAAUUCCAGGUGUAGCGGUGAAAUGCGUAGAGAUCUGGAGGAAUACCGGUGGCGAAGGCGGCCCCCUGGACAAAGACUGACGCUCAGGUGCGAAAGCGUGGGGAGCAAACAGGAUUAGAUACCCCAGUAGUC
rnacentral:rRNA from 1 species